UGGGGAAUAUUGGACAAUGGGCGAAAGCCUGAUCCAGCCAUGCCGCGUGUGUGAAGAAGGUCUUCGGAUUGUAAAGCACUUUAAGUUGGGAGGAAGGGCAGUAAGCGAAUACCUUGCUGUUUUGACGUUACCGACAGAAUAAGCACCGGCUAACUCUGUGCCAGCAGCCGCGGUAAUACAGAGGGUGCAAGCGUUAAUCGGAAUUACUGGGCGUAAAGCGCGCGUAGGUGGUUCGUUAAGUUGAAUGUGAAAGCCCCGGGCUCAACCUGGGAACUGAAUCCAAAACUGGCGGGCUAGAGUAGGGCAGAGGGUGGUGGAAUUUCCUGUGGAGCGGUGAAAUGCGUAGAUAUAGGAAGGAACACCAGUGGCGAAGGCGACCACCUGGGCUCAUACUGACACUGAGGUGCGAAAGCGUGGGGAGCAAACAGG
rnacentral:rRNA from 1 species